AGCGAACGCUGGCGGCAUGCCUAACACAUGCAAGUCGCACGGGGGGGCUUCGGCCUCCCAGUGGCGGACGGGUGAGGAACGCGUAGGGACCUGUCGAGGGGUGGGGGAUAACCGCGGGAAACUGCGGCUAAUACCGCAUGACGCCGCGGCGUGACAGCCGGGGCCAAAGGCGAAAGCCGCCCGCCGAGGGGCCUGCGUCCGAUUAGCCGGUUAGCGGGGUAGCGGCCCACCAAGGCGUCGAUCGGUAGCUGGUCUGAGAGGGUGAUCAGCCACACCGGGACUGAGACACGGCCCGGACUCCUACGGGAGGCAGCAGUGGGGAAUAUUGGACAAUGGGCGCAAGCCUGAUCCAGCAAUGCCGCGUGGGUGAAGAAGGUCUUCGGAUUGUAAAGCCCUUUCGGCGGGGACGAUGGUGACGGUACCCGCAGAAGAAGCCCCGGCUAACUUCGUG
rnacentral:rRNA from 1 species